GGCCGCCUGGCGAAAUGGCAUCGCGUCUGACUACGACUCGAUUGAAAUCAGGAGAUUGCAGGUUCGACCCCUGCGGUGGUCA
rnacentral:tRNA from 1 species